UCUUGACUGUCUUUGAUG
rnacentral:piRNA from 1 species